UACGAAGGGGGCUAGCGUUGCUCGGAAUCACUGGGCGUAAAGCGCACGUAGGCGGGUCUUAAGUCGGAGGUGAAAUCCUGGAGCUCAACUCCAGAACUGCCUUCGAUACUGAGGAUCUCGGUACGGUCGGAGAGGUGAGUGGAACUGCGAGUGUAGAGGUGAAAUUCGUAGAUAUUCGCAAGAACACCAGUGGCGAAGGCGGCUCACUGGCCCGGUACUGACGCUGAGGUGCGAAAGCG
rnacentral:rRNA from 1 species